rnacentral:rRNA from 1 species
GACGAACGCUGGCGGCGUGCUUAACACAUGCAAGUCGAGCGAUGAAGCUCCUUCGGGAGUGGAUUAGCGGCGGACGGGUGAGUAACACGUGGGUAACCUGCCUCAUAGAGGGGAAUAGCCUUUCGAAAGGAAGAUUAAUACCGCAUAAGAUUGUAGCUUUGCAUGAAGCAGCAAUUAAAGGAGUAAUCCGCUAUGAGAUGGACCCGCGUCGCAUUAGCUAGUUGGUGAGGUAACGGCUCACCAAGGCGACGAUGCGUAGCCGACCUGAGAGGGUGAUCGGCCACAUUGGGACUGAGACACGGCCCAGACUCCUACGGGAGGCAGCAGUGGGGAAUAUUGCACAAUGGGGGAAACCCGUGAUGCAGCAACGCCGCGUGAGUGAUGACGGUCUUCGGAUUGUAAAACUACUGUCCUCAGGGACGAUAAUGACGGUACCUGAGGAGGAAGCCACGGCUAACUACGUGCCAGCAGCCGCGGUAAAAU